rnacentral:rRNA from 1 species
GACGAACGCUGGCGGCGUGCUUAACACAUGCAAGUCGAACGGAAAGGCCCUGCUUUUGUGGGGUGCUCGAGUGGCGAACGGGUGAGUAACACGUGAGUAACCUGCCCUUGACUUUGGGAUAACUUCAGGAAACUGGGGCUAAUACCGGAUAGGAGCUCCUGCUGCAUGGUGGGGGUUGGAAAGUUUCGGCGGUUGGGGAUGGACUCGCGGCUUAUCAGCUUGUUGGUGGGGUAGUGGCUUACCAAGGCUUUGACGGGUAGCCGGCCUGAGAGGGUGACCGGCCACAUUGGGACUGAGAUACGGCCCAGACUCCUACGGGAGGCAGCAGUGGGGAAUAUUGCACAAUGGGCGGAAGCCUGAUGCAGCAACGCCGCGUGCGGGAUGACGGCCUUCGGGUUGUAAACCGCUUUCGCCUGUGACGAAGCGUGAGUGACGGUAAUGGGUAAAGAAGCACCGGCUAACUACGUGCCAGCAGCCGCGGUGAUACGUAGGGUGCGAGCGUUGUCCGGAUUUAUUGGGCGUAAAGGGCUCGUGGGUGGUUGAUCGCGUCGGAAGUGUAAUCUUGGGGCUUAACCCUGAGCGUGCUUUCGAUACGGGUUGACUUGAGGAAGGUAGGGGAGAAUGGAAUUCCUGGUGGAGCGGUGGAAUGCGCAGAUAUCAGGAGGAACACCAGUGGCGAAGGCGGUUCUCUGGGCCUUUCCUGACGCUGAGGAGCGAAAGCGUGGGGAGCGAACAGGCUUAGAUACCCUGGUAGUCCACGCCGUAAACGGUGGGUACUAGGUGUGGGGUCCAUUCCACGGGUUCCGUGCCGUAGCUAACGCUUUAAGUACCCCGCCUGGGGAGUACGGCCGCAAGGCUAAAACUCAAAGGAAUUGACGGGGCCCCGCACAAGCGGCGGAGCAUGCGGAUUAAUUCGAUGCAACGCGUAGAACCUUACCUGGGUUUGACAUGGAUCGGGAGUGCUCAGAGAUGGGUGUGCCUCUUUUGGGGUCGGUUCACAGGUGGUGCAUGCCUGUCGUCAGCUCGUGUCGUGAGAUGUUGGGUUAAGUCCCGCAACGAGCGCAACCCUUGUUCACUGUUGCCAGCACGUUAUGGUGGGGACUCAGUGGAGACCGCCGGGGUCAACUCGGAGGAAGGUGGGGAUGACGUCAAGUCCUCAUGCCCCUUAUGUCCAGGGCUUCACGCAUGCUACAAUGGCUGGUACAGAGAGUGGCGAGCCUGUGAGGGUGAGCGAAUCUCGGAAAGCCGGUCUCAGUUCGGAUUGGGGUCUGCAACUCGACCUCAUGAAGUCGGAGUCGCUAGUAAUCGCAGAUCAGCAACGCUGCGGUGAAUACGUUCCCGGG